UGGGGAAUAUUGCACAAUGGGCGCAAGCCUGAUGCAGCGACGCCGCGUGAGGGAUGACGGCCUUCGGGUUGUAAACCUCUUUCAGUAUGGAACAAGGAUCCUUCUUUUGGGGGGUUUGAGGGUACGUGCAGAAGAAGCGCCGGCUAACUACGUGCCAGCAGCCGCGGUAAUACGUAGGGCGCGAGCGUUGUCCGGAUUUAUUGGGCGUAAAGAGCUCGUAGGCGGUUUGUCGCGUCUGCCGUGAAAUUUCCUGGCUUAACUGGGAGCGUGCGGUGGGUACGGGCAGACUGGAGUGCGGUAGGGGAGACUGGAAUUCCUGGUGUAGCGGUGGAAUGCGCAGAUAUCAGGAGGAACACCGGUGGCGAAGGCGGGUCUCUGGGCCGUUACUGACGCUGAGGAGCGAAAGCAUGGGGAGCGAACAGG
rnacentral:rRNA from 3 species